UCUUGGGAUAAGCAAGGACAGUGAUGUGACAGAAAGUGGGAGGGAUUUGGUCUGACCUGGAUUCGAGUUUUAAUUCUCCUAUGCUCCAGCUGUGUGUUUCUGGAGUACAUAUUUCACCUUUCUGAGCCUUGGUUUUUCUUCUGUCAAAAAUGGGCAAAGUAGGGCGGGGGAUUUAGCUCAGUGGCACUGUGCCUGUUUUGCAAGCGCAAGGUCCUGAGUUUGAUCCCCGGUACACCCCCCAACAAAAGGGCAAAGUAAUGUUUUAUGGGAUCAAAUUAAAUAAUUGCUAUAAAGCACCUAGUGAGGGUGUAAUAUGUAGUAAGUACUCCAUAAAUCCAAUAUUUCAUUUCUUUCUCCCGACAGAAUGGUCAGGCAGGUGAGACUGGAAGGCUCAGAGGGACCAUGGGAUUUAACAAAAGAUGCACAGCAAGCGCUACCUACCUCCUUCUUUCCCUUAGGGUUCCCUGUCAUCUGCUACUCUUGGGACUGCUCCGCUCAUUCCCCAACAGAAGGCUGAGGCCCCCGUCUCCACCCUGUCUCUAGCUACCCUGUAAAAGUGACUGUCACUGUGAACGUUCCUUGAGCUCUUUCCGGGCACCCGCCUGGUGCUCAGAGUUAGGGUUUCAUUUUAUUCUUCAUCCUUGGAAGAAAGCAACAUAAUUAUUCUUCCCGUUUUAAAGGCCUCAGUUUUAGAGAUGGGAAGACUGAGCCUCGGAGCUUCCCACCAGUUCCCCAGGGUCGGUCUCAGCGGUGGUGGACACCAAGCCGAUAGAAUCAGGGAGGCCCCUUCACCUGUCUUGGGGAAAGAUCUGGACCCUCCUCGCCUUCUGGCCCCACCCACCUCCAUCACUAUGGCAACCACGCAGGCACCUGAGGGAUGUAGAUUUAUUUGACUCUGAUGACAACCCACUUCCUGGAAAGGGAAACUCAGAAGACUCAGAGAAAGCAUGUGUUUCACCACCAAGGAAGUACAGAGAGAGACUUUCUUUGACCUGUCUGGCUGCAGAGCUGGCCUCUUUCUAUGAGACCUAGAAAACAUUAAGCAUCACCAAAUGGCAAGAACCUUGGAUGCCAGCAUUUGGGCAGUGUUGCAGGAAUUAGCUGGCCCAUUAAAUUCAGGGCAAGAAGCAUUCAGAGCCCAACCUGGGCACUGGAUGAUAAGAAGCCCAAUCCAGGAUCCCAUCCGGGUACCACAUCAGCUUUCAUCCUCAUUUCUUAGACCCCCCUCUGUGGGGAGUGUUCUCAAAUGGUCCUUGUUUGGAUGACCUUGUUGGCUCUGCAGAGCAUGGACGGGCAGUAUGCAGCAGGUGCACAGCUGGAUUGGUCUGAUGUUUUUCUGAAGUUAGAGGGGGGAAUCUCUUUGAAGAGGAUGAGCCCAGAGGUAAAGCACUGCUCCCACCACGUCUCAUCAAAGUCCACACAGCCUGUGUCACCUCUCGCUGCUGACUUGAACCUUUGUUGUGCAGUGGACAGGACAGCAUCUGUCAGGCUUCUCUACUGGGAGGUGACUCUGCUUCUCUCCCUUCAAGCUUCCCUCUUUUGGAAGAAGUCACUGCACACAUCCCAAACUUUCGGGGUUGGAAUUCACUCCCCCUCCUUGAGGACAGAGGAUCUACAUGAAUUAUACAGAAUUAUUCUGCACAGGAGAAUGUUCUCUUCUUUGUCCAUUGAUUCCGUCAUCUCUUUGUAUCAGGAUGGACCCAUGGAUUUUUGUUUUAUACUUUGAGACAUAAUCCAGCACCACUCUGUGCUUUUUAAAAUGAUGCUUGAUUCUUUCUUCCUUGGUUUAUCAGCAUAUCCCAAAAAUCUGUUCGGAAGCAAUCUCAUUCCAUGGGGUUUUACCAGGCAAUCCUCUUAAAAUAGUUUUCAGAGGCAAGUCAUUUGAGGUCACAGUGGUGAAGAGAACCUGACUGCAGGACUUGUCAGUUCUUUUAAUGUGCUGAUAAUGUGAGGAGUGAGUCAUUCAGAGGAGGACCUUACUGGCAACAUUUCCCACAUUUCUUUUCUUUGGUACCCUGGUCUGGUGGAGGGACACACAUGAGAAAAUUAUCU